CAAUAGCGUAUAUUAAAGUUGUUGCGGUUAAAAGCUCGUAGUUGGAUUUCUGUCGAAGUUGACCGGUCCACUCUUUGGGUGCGCAUCUGGCUCGACCGAGACAUUUUCUGGAUUUAGCGUUGCGCUUCAUUGUGUGGCGUGAACUCCAGUCUUUUACUUUGAGGAAAUUAGAGUGUUUCAAGCAGGCGUAUGCCUUGAAUACAUUAGCAUGGAAUAAUGAGAUAGGACUUCGGUUCUAUUUUGUUGGUUUCUAGAACUGAAGUAAUGAUUAAUAGGGACAGUCGGGGGCAUUCGUACUUAACUGUCAGAGGUGAAAUUCUUGGAUUUGUUAAAGACGAACUACUGCGAAAGCAUUUGCCAAGGAUGUUUUCAUUGAUCAAGAACGAAAGUUAGGGGAUCGAAGACGAUCAGAUACCGU
rnacentral:rRNA from 1 species